CUUAUUCCGAGGAGACUUUCCUGGGCCUGACUCCCGGACCUGUCCCCAGCGCCUCGCGGCCUCUCGAGCCCCUUCAGUGACCAAGAUGCAGAGAUCAGGACGCCAUUGCACCACCCCAGGUGCCCGCCUCUAGCUGGCUCCGCCUGGGCCCCGAGGGAAGGUGAGGUCGGGGGGGCCGGGCCAGGGCGUGGCAGCCAGGGUGUUUGUCCGCCGGGCUUGCUGCCUCUGGUGGCCCGGCAGCACCGUCCCACCUCUGCCACCCUCCGAUGGGGCCGCUACCUGCGUGCCUGCCAAUCAUGCUGCUCCUGCUGCUGCUGCUGCUGCUGCUGCUUGGACCUGGCCCCAGGUCUGGCGAGGGGUCUGGCGCUGUCGCCCAGGUUGGAAUACAGCGGUGCAAUCUCAACUCACUGCAAACUCCGCCUCCCAGGUUCAAGCAAUUCUCCUGCCUCAGUCUCCUGAGUAGCUGAGAUUACAGAUGCCUGCCACCACACGCAGCUAAUUGGUUGGGUGUGGUGGGGCUUUCCAAUGAUUACUUAUUAAUGAUUACUUAUGAAAAACAACAACAAAAAAGCCAUCUUGAAGCUGCUUUUAAUGAGAGAACAAAUGUGCUCCCAAGCAACAGAGCAGCGAAAUUCUUUAUUACUGGAUUCUAACUUUCCUCUCUAACUGUAACUGUCUCAGCUCCACCUCAUGUGACUUGGAGGGUAUGUUGCAACCUGCGUCUUCACCACCCAUUCAUGAAGAUCUAUAAAACUAAUGUAAACUGCUGGGGCAAUUUCAACAUGAGUCAACUGGAGAUUGUUACUUGGUGAGAAUGCGCAAGUGGCAAAGAUCUAAAUUUGUUCAGCUAAUUUGUAAUUAACCUUCGCUUCUCACAUGUCAGUAUGUGAAGUGUCUGGUUUAAGCAAUUUAUCCAAAAAAGCCAUAGACUCUUUAAAUAACAACAAAACCUGGGCCUGGAAUUUUAUAAAGGCAGAAUGAGUAAGACACGGUUUCGGUGUGCUUUUUUAAAGAAAACAGGGUCUUGCUCUGUUGCCCAGGAUGAAAUGCCAUGCUGCAUUUACAGCUCACUGCAGCCUUGACCUCCCACCUCAGCUUCCAGAGGAGCUGGGAUUACAGGUGUGCACCACCACGCCCAGCUAAUUUAAAAAAUUUUUGUAGAAACAGGGUGUCACUGUGUUGCCCAGGCUGGUCUCCAGCAAUCCUCUGGCCUUGACCCCCUACAGUGUGGGGAUUACACCCAUGAGCGACUUGCCACUUACUAUCACUAUCUGACUGUGACCUGGAACCAGAAAGGAGAUUCCGAGAGUGUGCUCAAUCAAUCACAAACUGACCUUUUUCAUGGGUUUCUUGAACUCCUGUAGCUCUUCAGCACUCAUGUCUUCCCAUACCUGAUAAAUAGGAUCAAUGAAUUUCUUUGACCUGUCAACAAAGAUCACAUUUCAAAGUCAAGUUAAAUACUUCAGCAGAAGUCAAAAUUGGUUUGGAUCUUUUCUCACAAGAUCUAUUACCCAAAACCAAGAAGUGAAAACUACAGCUUAAAUAAUUACAUUUAAAAAAACCUGGCUGGGCGCAGUGGCUCACGCCUGUAAUCCCAGCACUUUGGGAGGCUGAGGUGGGCAGAUCAUGAGGUCAGGAGAUCGAGACCAUCCUGGCUAACACGGUGAAACCCCAUCUCUACUAAAAAUACAAAAAAUUAGCCGGGUGUGGUGGCGGACGCCUGUAGUCCCAGCUACUCAGGAGGCUGAGGCAGAAUGGCCUGAACCUGGGAGGCAGAGCUUGCAGCGAGCCGAUAUCAUGCCACUGCACUCCAGCCUGGGCGACAGAGCGAGACUGUCUC
rnacentral:lncRNA from 10 species